UGCGUGGUGGGCACUAUUUAAUUUUUAAUUGAUGUUUUUUUUAGCUAACAUCCGCGACGUGCAAACCGCAGCAACCCGUGUUUAAAAAAUGAAGCGGAAAUGUUCUGUCCCAAUGGUAAUUAGAAUUGCCACCACUGCCAGUGUUGUAUUUGGAUCGAUUAUUUGGCAGAUAAAUUAAUCGAAAAUACAACCUGCGAUAUUGUAAGGGCUCGUUAGGUCGGUAUCAUAAAGAAGGUAAAUGUCAGGAGAAAUUAAGGAAAAGCCGAAAAGCGGAAAAAUGCCGCGUCAUUCCCGUAGGUAUAAAAGGGGGAAAAAGGAAAACGCGCCCUUAUGAUUCAAGUGGUGCGACAGUAAAAUAGUGGUCAUAAAAGUAAAAAAAAUUAAAACCUGCCAAAUUUCAAAAUAAAAGUUACUUUUUUUAAGGCAAUAAAAGCCUCGAUAUUUAUUUUAUUAUUUAUGGUGAAGGCGUUAGUAAUUGAUUUGUUUCGCCAAAAUAAUUUAAAUUUCUCGAGGGUAUCAACUGGCCUCCUCGGCGAACAAAAGCGGAGAGGUCAGCCCAUCUUUGACGGCCACAGCAACCACCACAACGCAAAAUUGAGGCCCCAGCGACCGCCUCCAUAACACCAAUUCCCUUGAUCCAUGAUAUCCGGGUUCUGCUUUAUCCUGGUGGACGAGGUCGCGGAAGAGUGAUCCUGGAAAAGAACAAAGCAGGUUGUACUAAAGAAUGCAAAAAGCCAGGUAACAAAGUUAUUUAUUAAACUUACCGCUUGUUUGAUACAACCACUGGCAUAAAAUAAAAACCAGAACCAGGAGGGAAAUCCUGCAACAGAAAAAGGGAGAAAUUCCAUUAAGAAAAUUUAUUAAAAAAAAAAAGCAAAAGGCAGAAAAAUUCAUAUAAAUUAAGAGAAAGAACUAAUCAAAUAUUCAAAUUUUUAAUUAAGAUAAGAUAUUUAGGUUAAGUGUGUUGUCUAAGCAUAUUAUUAUUGUUUUUUUUUGUGUCCAGCAUAAAUGUUCUUGUUUUUGUGAGGGACAUUAACUAUUCUAAAUUUUAUGAGUAAAUUGGAGUGUAGGGUUACCCCAAAUUACUUUGAGUGUUAUAAUUAAGAUUUUUUUGAGUUUCCGUUGAAUAUUGUGGACCAGUUUGCGGGUCCCUCACCACCUAAGAGAGCUCGUUUAGGCAGGUACUAAUUGCAUAACUUAGAAAGUCCAAAAUUUGGUGACAUUUAGUUGACUGAAGUAAUGAAGGGUGGUCUGAUAUAUAUGAACUCCUCAAACAAUGACUAAGAGAUCCUGAUAGUUAAUGUUUCAAAUUUCAGCUUGUUUGUUCUAUUUUAAGGAAAUCUUAUAUAUUAAUAAAUUGUUCGUAAUAUGAUUGUUUGUGUAA